UACGUAGGUGGCAAGCGUUGUCCGGAAUUAUUGGGCGUAAAGCGCGCGCAGGCGGUCCUUUAAGUCUGAUGUGAAAGCCCACGGCUCAACCGUGGAGGGUCAUUGGAAACUGGGGGACUUGAGUACAGAAGAGAAGAGUGGAAUUCCACGUGUAGCGGUGAAAUGCGUAGAGAUCCGGAGGAACACCGACGGCGUAGGCAGCGCCCUAGACGAGACCUGACGCUCAGGCACGAAAGCGCGGGGAGCGAACAGG
rnacentral:rRNA from 1 species